GUGUUGAUUUUAGAGAGGAAAUGUUUCUCUUGAAGGUGUAAAAAAAGAAUGAAAGAAAGAUUCUCUCUCAUGCAUGAAAGAAAGAGAAGUGUUCUUCUCAUCAUUUUAGUGUAGUUAUCUCUAUCCUCCUGAUCUUCUUCUUCUCUAAGAGUAUUUCGAAAGAAAAGAAGAAUUCUCAUCAGCCGUCAAGAUACGAUCUUUGCAAGGGAGCUAGUACUUCGAUGAGAUCAAAGGUUUCUGAUCAGAUCGAGGCCUCGUGUAGAUAUCCGUAGAAGCCGGACACUUGUGCAGCUUCAACGGAUUUUCUGAGGGCAUCCAAGAUUAUCAUUUCGCAG
rnacentral:lncRNA from 1 species